CGAGCGGCUCGGACGGCCGCGUGCCCCUGCCCGGAGCUUGUCGAAGGGCAAGGCACGAGGAAAGUCCGGGCUCCACAGGGCAUGAGGGUCGCUAACGGCGACCGGCGGUUUAUUCCGCCAGGGACAGUGGCACAGAAAACAGACCGCCUGCAACGUAUCGCGGGUAAGGGUGAAAAGGUGCGGUAAGAGCGCACCGCGAGCCUGGGUGACCAGGCCGGCAGGCUAAACCCCCUCCGGAGCAAGGCCAAAUAGGGAUCGAGGCAGCCGCAAUGUGCGCGGCUGCCGCGGCGCGGCCCGCGCCGCCAGAAGAUCCGGGUAGGCUGCUUGAGCUGCACGGCAACGUGCAGCCUAGACGAAUGGCCGUCUCGCCGAUGUUCGCUUGCGGAUGUCGGUAGACAGAACCCGGCUUACAGAGCCGCUCAAAAA
rnacentral:RNase_P_RNA from 1 species